rnacentral:lncRNA from 1 species
UAUUGAUAGAACGAUAUCAAUGUUAUAUUUGAAAUUAUAUUUUGGUGUCCAGAGAAUAUCGAUGAUGUGAACUACUAAUUUUUUGGAAAAACAACACGUAAUAAAAUAAUAGUAUUAGAAUGAACGAUCGUAUUCAGCUCCAUUAUGAUAAAGGUGAAUGCUAAGCUAGUAAGCUAGUUAGGUAUGGAAUAGAAUAAUAUAUUCGAUUAUUGGUGCUGGAUA